CUACGGGAGGCAGCAGUGGGGAAUUUUGCGCAAUGGGCGAAAGCCUGACGCAGCAACGCCGCGUGAGGGAUGAAGGUCUUCGGAUUGUAAACCUCUGUCAAGUGGGAAGAACCCUGACGGUACCACUGGAGGAAGCCCCGGCUAACUCCGUGCCAGCAGCCGCGGUAAUACGGAGGGGGCAAGCGUUGUUCGGAAUCAUUGGGCGUAAAGCGUAUGUAGGCGGUCAGAUAAGUCAGGCGUGCAAGCCCAUGGCUUAACCAUGGAAUUGCGUCUGAAACUAUCUGACUUGAGGACAGGAGAGGAAAGCGGAAUUCCCAGUGUAGCGGUGAAAUGCGUUGAUAUUGGGAAGAACACCGGUGGCGAAGGCGGCUUUCUGGCCUGUUUCUGACGCUGAGAUACGAAAGCCAGGGGAGCGAACGGGAUUAGAUACCCUCGUAGUC
rnacentral:rRNA from 1 species